rnacentral:rRNA from 1 species
UAGGGAAUCUUCGGCAAUGGGGGGAACCCUGACCGAGCAACGCCGCGUGAGUGAAGAAGGAUUUCGGUUCGUAAAACUCUGUUGUUAGAGAAGAACAGCGCAUAGAGUAACUGUUAUGCGUGUGACGGUAUCUAACCAGAAAGCCACGGCUAACUACGUGCCAGCAGCCGCGGUAAUACGUAGGUGGCAAGCGUUGUCCGGAUUUAUUGGGCGUAAAGCGAGCGCAGGCGGUCAAUUAAGUCUGAUGUGAAAGCCCCCGGCUCAACCGGGGAGGGUCAUUUGAAACUGGUUGACUUGAGUGCAGAAGAGGAGAGUGGAAUUCCAUGUGUAGCGGUGAAAUGCGUAGAUAUAUGGAGGAACACCAGUGGCGAAGGCGACUCUCUGGUCUGUAACUGACGCUGAGGCUCGAAAGCGUGGGUAGCAAACAGG